rnacentral:rRNA from 1 species
AUUGAACGCUGGCGGCAGGCCUAACACAUGCAAGUCGAGCGGAGCGGCGGACGGGGGAGUAAUGUAUGGGGAUCUGCCCGAUAGAGGGGGAUAACUACUGGAAACGGUAGCUAAUACCGCAUACUAUCGGAUGAACCCAUAUGGGAUUAGCUAGUAGGUGGGGUAAAGGCUCACCUAGGCGACGAUCUCUAGCUGGUCUGAGAGGAUGAUCAGCCAUACUGGUACGGAGACACGGCCCAGACUCCGCCGGGAGGCCGCAGGGGUGAAUAUUGCACAAUGGGCGCAAUCCUUAUGCAGCCCUGCCGCGUGUGUGAAGAAGGUCUUCGGAUUGUAAAGCACUUUAAGUUGGGAGGCGUUACCAACAGAAUAAGCACGGGCUAACGUCGUGCCAGCAGCCGCGGUAAUUC